rnacentral:lncRNA from 10 species
CAGAUGGCACAUAGAGCGACAGCAAGCAUCUUUCCCAAGUUCACACAGUCGGCAAGUGCUCACACUGAUAUUUGAACCCAGACCAUGCCUGGCUCAGAGUAGAAACUCAAUAAAUAUUUGUUGCAAGAAUGAAGGGUUGGGUUUUGUUGGAAAAAGGCCUGAUUGUGGACUGAUUGGCUGACUGUCAAGCCUCGCAGUGCAUCGAGCAUCAGCGCUACGAAGUAAGCUGCGAGUCGUUUUCCAAGCCGGCAGCUGCCUGUCUCCUU